AGUGUAUUGUAUUAUAAAAAUAUGUUUAGUUUUGUAACAAACUGUCAAAUUGUCUUUGAAAUGGUUGUACCAUUUUGCAUUCUCA